rnacentral:rRNA from 1 species
GCAAGUCGAACGAACCUUCGGGUUAGUGGCGGACGGGUGAGUAACGCGUGGGAAUCUGCCCUCAGGAGGGGGAUAACGGCUGGAAACUGCCGCUAAUACCCCAUAUGCCGAGAGGUGAAAUGAAUUUCGCCUGAGGAUGAGCCCGCGUCUGAUUAGCUAGUUGGUGGGGUAAGGGCUUACCAAGGCGUCGAUCAGUAGCUGGCCUGAGAGGGUGAUC